CUAAUGCCGCGUCAGGCUGCGCGGGAAUACGGGAGAUCCAAGCUUUAUCCGGGAAUACUGGGGGUAAAGGGUGGCGUAGGCGGCAGGUAAAGCGAACAGUGAAAGAUCCCGGCUCAACCGGGGGUACAGUGUUCGAACUCACCAGCUAGAGCACAGCAGAGGUACCUGGAAUUCCCAGUGUAGGAGUGAAAUCCGUAGAUAUUGGGAGGAACACCGAUGGCGUAGGCAGGGUACUGGGCUGUUGCUGACACUAAGGCACGAAAGCGUGGGGAGCGAACGGGAUUAGAUACCCUGGUAGUC
rnacentral:rRNA from 1 species